rnacentral:lncRNA from 1 species
GGCCGUAACUAGCUUCUUUUAAUAUUGAGGCAAAAUAUAUUCGCCAAGCGUAGCGAGGCGAAAAAAUCAUUUGGCGAGGGGUCUGGGGGCCGCUCAAGGCCCCCAGAGGCUCUGAGAAAAAUAACGCAAAAUCGUGCAUUCUGAGCGUUUCCCGGACUCUUUCUUACAUUGAAACGCAAUUAAUUUUUAGCUAUUUCUUUCGACAAUAUUCUUGUUUCAAAGCAAAAACAUAAAUUUAUUGUAAUUCAAGACUUUUAGGUU